rnacentral:rRNA from 1 species
UACAGAGGGGGCAAGCGUUAUUCGGAAUUAUUGGGCGUAAAGGGCGCGUAGGCGGCCUUGUAAGUCUUGGGUGAAAUCCCUCAGCUCAACUGAGGAACUGCCUCGGAUACUGCAAGGCUUGAGGCCGGGAGAGGGUAGUGGAAUUCCCAGUGUAGCGGUGAAAUGCGUAGAUAUUGGGAGGAACACCGGUGGCGAAGGCGGCUACCUGGACCGGUUCUGACGCUGAUGCGCGAAAGCGUGGGGAGCAAACAGG